AAUUGGAUAGCUCAAUUGGGUAGAGCAAUCGGCUCAUAACCGAUGGGUCGCGGGUUCGAAUCCCGCUCCAG
rnacentral:tRNA from 1 species